rnacentral:tRNA from 1 species
GGAGGGUUAGCUCAAUAGAAGCGUGUGUACUUGGCAUGCCUGAGGACCUGGGUUCAAUCCCCAGUCCCUCCA